AUUAUUACAGUUAUUAUUUGUAUUAUCAUUUACACACUCCACCAACAGAAACAUACCCGCUUCCGCCACUACAGACGACGCCAUCUUUGCAAACUCGCACCGGACCACCACGCACAAUCAGAAGCUGUAAAACAGGAAAAUAACAAACUUAACAUGUACACAAUUUGUUUUUUUGUUUGUAGAGAACAAGAUCGGGAAAUACGCUCUCAUCAGCCCUCCGUGAAGUCGACAACAAGCGCACCUACUCUUCCGUACAACCAGCACCACGAUACAAACGCUACUGGCGAGUCAGCUGCAACCGCAAAUCGUCGUGCGAAUCUUACGGCACUGUUGCUAUUAAGGUUGGAUUUUCCCUUUUCAUUUUGA